rnacentral:rRNA from 1 species
GCUGGCGGCAGGCCUAAGACAUGCAAGUCGAGCGAGAAAGCCCUUCGGGGUGAGUAGAGCGGCGGACGGGUGAGUAACGCGUAGGAAUCUACCCAGUAGUGGGGGACAACUAGUGGAAACGCUAGCUAAUACCGCAUACGCCCUACGGGGGAAAGCGGGGGACCUUCGGGCCUCGCGCUAUUGGAUGAGCCUGCGUAAGAUUAGCUUGUUGGUGAGGUAAUGGCUCACCAAGGCAACGAUCUUUAGCUGGUCUGAGAGGAUGAUCAGCCACACCGGGACUGAGACACGGCCCGGACUCCUACGGGAGGCAGCAGUCGGGAAUAUUGCGCAAUGGGGGAAACCCUGACGCAGCCAUGCCGCGUGUGUGAAGAAGGCCUUAGGGUUGUAAAGCACUUUCAAUUGGGAGGAAAAGCUAAUGGUUAAUAACCAUUAGCCCUGACGUUACCUUUAGAAGAAGCACCGGCUAACUCCGUGCCAGCAGCCGCGGUAAUACGGAGGGUGCAAGCGUUAAUCGGAAUUACUGGGCGUAAAGCGCGCGUAGGCGGUUUUUUAAGUCGGAUGUGAAAGCCCCGGGCUCAACCUGGGAACUGCAUCCGAUACUGAAAGACUAGAAUGCGGGAGAGGGAGGUAGAAUUCCAUGUGUAGCAGUGAAAUGCGUAGAUAUAUGGAGGAAUACCAGUGGCGAAGGCGGCCUCCUGGCUCGACAUUGACGCUGAGGUGCGAAAGCGUGGGGAGCAAACGGGAUUAGAUACCCCGGUAGUCCACGCCGUAAACGAUGUCUACUAGCUGUAGGGGUACUUGAGACCUUUGUAGCGCAGCUAACGCAAUAAGUAGACCGCCUGGGGAGUACGGCCGCAAGUAAACUCAUAAAAAGUGAUGACG